GACGAACGCUGGCGGCGUGCUUAACACAUGCAAGUCGAACGGAAAGGCCCUGCUUUCGUGGGGUGCCCGAGUGGCGAAGGGGUGAGUAACACGGGAGUAACCUGCCCUUGACUUUGGGAUAACUUCAGGAAACUGGGGCUAAUACCGGAUAGGAGCGCCUGCUGCAGGGUGGGGGUCGGAAAUUUUAGGCGGUUGGGGAUGGACUCGCGGCUUAUUAGCUUGUUGGUGGGGUAGUGGCUUACCAAGGCUUUGACGGGUAGUCGGCCUGAGAGGGUGACCGGCCACCAUGGGACUGAGGUACGGCGCAGACUCCUACGGGAGGCAACGGUGGGGAAUAUUGCACAAUGGGCGGAAGCCUGAUGAAGCAACGCCGCGUGCGGGAUGACGGCCUUCGGGUUGUAAACCGCUUUCGCCUGUGACGAAGCGUUAGUGACGGUAAUGGGUAAAGAAGCACCGGCUAACUACGUG
rnacentral:rRNA from 1 species